rnacentral:tRNA from 1 species
AGUUGAUUCUAUAAAUGGAUAUUUUGAAAGUAUUCUAUAAGGUAAUCUUUGGCUUGAAUUUUAAGUUAAAAAGGAAUGUAAGGGGGGCAUAUGCCCCCCUUAUUGUCU